rnacentral:rRNA from 1 species
AUUGAACGCUGGCGGCAGGCUUAACACAUGCAAGUCGAGCGGGGGAAGGUAGCUUGCUACCGGACCUAGCGGCGGACGGGUGAGUAAUGCUUAGGAAUCUGCCUAUUAGUGGGGGACAACAUCUCGAAAGGGAUGCUAAUACCGCAUACGUCCUACGGGAGAAAGCAGGGGAUCUUCGGACCUCGCGCUAAUAGAUGAGCCUAAGUCGGAUUAGCUAGUGGGUGGGGUAAAGGCCUACCAAGGCGACGAUCUGCAGCGGGUCUGAGAGGAUGAUCCGCCACACUGGGACUGAGACACGGCCCAGACUCCUACGGGAGGCAGCAGUGGGGAAUAUUGGACAAUGGGGGGAACCCUGAUCCAGCCAUGCCGCGUGUGUGAAGAAGGCCUUAUGGUUGUAAAGCACUUUAAGCGAGGAGGAGGCUACUUUAGUUAAUACCUAGAGAUAGUGGACGUUACUCGCAGAAUAAGCACCGGCUAACUCUGUGCCAGCAGCCGCAGUAAAAC